rnacentral:lncRNA from 1 species
GUUCUAGGCUAGUCAUAUAUCUUGAGCAAUAAAAUAUCAUUACUAACUCCCUAUUUGACAUUUGAGUUAAUUGGUCUAAACAUCUCUUAAAUUUCUUUUAUAUAUGAAAUAGAUGACGAUGGCAUGCUGAUGGAGAUCCUAUUAGAUAUACCAUAGGAAGACUUUCCAAGUAUGGACUCCUAUUUUAGGAAAAGUAACUAAGGUUUAUUUAUAGAUUUUCUAGUAUUCUAUGCUAUUUUUUUUAGUUAAAGACGGCUUAUGCGUUUGUAUUUUAGAGACUUAAUUAUUGAAUAGAAACUAUGUUUCUUUCCUCCAAUUUCUUCAUCUCCCUCUCGGUUCUCUGUCUUAUCUCUUCUGUCUUCUUUUGAUUAUGUCCGUCAUCACAUGCUCGGUAUGUCUUUUGCUAGUGAUGUAUGUGCAAUAAGUUCAGGUUUUUUUUCCUUGAAAGCAUAUAAAUGUUUGAGCAUUGAUGCACUAUUAGCUUUCUUUUUUUUUCCUUUCGAUUUUGCCUCCUCUUGGCAAAGUUUUUAAAUUAUUUAUCAAUGGUCAAUCUUCAUUUCAAUCCAAUAUUCCAAUGGAUCCACAAGCACUAUCCAUUUAUCUAUCACUCAUUUGUAUUCAUUUAUAAAUUAAAAUGUAUAAAUUCUUUCCUAAGGGAGGCUUAGUAAUUAGGAUACUUAAUUUUGCUGUUCUUGCAAUGAUAUCUCCAUUUUCUAUGUCAUCCUUACUCCAGGUUUUGGUUUUGCAGAUUCCAACCCUCUGGGAAUAUAAUAAAAUGAGUAUGUUGAAUCUUGUUGCAAGUUUAGUGAAGGUAUGCUUUUCUGCACGGUUUCCAUACAUUAAUCCAUACUGUACUAGUUCGAGAAAAUUUAUCAUGUUUUUGAGAACUUCUCAUUUCCUUUUCCCUUUCCCUUUCAUACUCUUGCAAUUUCUCCGCAAAAGACUUUAAUGGAAGUGGCCCAUCUUUUGGUUAAAUUAUCAUCAUUUGCUAUCAUCGUGUUCAUUGAGUUUGAUAGUGUCUAAUCCCAAGGGUGCUUCUAAAAAUGGAGAAAAUUUAAUGCCCCGUUAUGGGGAGCAAUAUUUCAGUAGAAUGACAAGUUUUAAGGUGGUUUCAGAAACUUGAAAUUUUUAACAGGCACUGGUGUAUCAAGGCAUUCAUUUUUGUGAAAUUUUGGCACCAAUUUAUUGUCGUAAUAUUGUGCAUCUCUAACCAUAUACGCAGAGACGAAGCUGAGACAGACUUUUUACUGAUCUCUGUGCUGUCAACUAACAAUUAGCUACUUAAUUAUCCCAAUUAAUGUCAUUUCAUGCAAUUGUACAAAGAACUCCAUCUAUGUUUCUUCAUAGCCAGACCUAAGCCCUGACAAAGGGAAGUUGUGGUAGGUUGACUGUGAGCAUAGAACUUAGUCACAUCUCAUGACAUGAUACUUCUAUAUAGGGUUGGGCAAAUCUCCCGAACCGAACCCGACGGUUCUUGUCAAAUUAAAUACCCGAACGGGUAUCUGAAUUGAGAAUCGACGGGUAUGGUUCGGUCUAGAACCGAAUCUUUCUAAUUUUUUUUUUUUUUUUAUUAUAUUGAGUAAAUCAAAUUAUUUUAAUUUCAAUUUUUUCUAAACAAAUUAACAAUUUCUAAAUCCAAAUUUUUGGCCCAAUAAUUUGUUUUAUUUCUAAUUUUUUAAUUUUUGGCCCAAUUACCCAAUUCAUUGUUUCAUUUCUUAGCCCAAUAAGAUUCAAUUCACUAAAUAACCCUAAACACCUACACUAAAGUGCAUAACGUUGUCUCGACUCUCACACUCGCUCUCCUAGCCUCGCUAACAUUCCAAAACCUAUACAAUCUUCGGCCGACGCUGUGACCUCCGAUCGAAGCUGUGACCUCCGCCAACCGAAACUUUGACCGUAGCGAUCAUUUGAACAAGGUGGUCUACUAAUCUCUGACAUUCCAAAACCAUUGAAUGUAUCAUUAGUUGUAUUUAUAUAAUGUUGUUAUAAAUGUUAAAAAAUUUAAUUAUAGUACCGAACCGAACCGAAUCGAAUCGAACCGAACGGAACCGAACCCAAACGGUUCCAUAAUUAUAUUUGGACUCGACGGUUCCAUUUACUAGAUACCCAAAAAUUUUGGUUAGGUUCGGUUCUCCUUAGAGCCGAACUGAAUCGACCCGCGCCCACCCCUCCUCCUAUACAUUUGUAAAAUUUGUAUGUAUUAGUAAGAAGCAAAAUUUACCCACAUGUUAUUGAUAUAUGCUUCAUCAUAUAGACAGGAAUACAUGGAAGGAUAGUUUCAUCAGAUCGUGGUAGACCCUUGCCAGCGACAAUAGCUAUAAGGGGAAUAAACUACACGGUAUGAUCAGCCAUCAUUUUUCGGUUGUAAGCAUUAAACAAAUCAGGGAACGCUUUGUUUUUAUUUGCUUUACUGAUUUAUUAAAUGACCUUUAAAUUGAUUGCUAAGUGACUUAUCAUCUAGUUCUGGAUGUCACACCCUCUUGGCACUGUAGCUAGACUAUUAUUGAUAUUAAGCCCUUGUUUGGGCUCCAUUUUAAUGAGUUUUUGAGAAAAAUGCAUUUUGAAAUGGUAAUUUCUUGGAGAACGUGUGGUUAGAAAAGAAGAAAAAGAUUUGGGUUUAUGUAGAAUAUUAUUUUUUUGAAUGAUGUAUGGUUGAAAAGAAG